rnacentral:rRNA from 4 species
GGGAGUGGGUUGCAAAAGAAGUAGGUAGCUUAACCUUCGGGAGGGCGCUUACCACUUUGUGAUUCAUGACUGGGGUGAAGUCGUAACAAGGUAACCGUAGGGGAACCUGCGGUUGGAUCACCUCCUUA